rnacentral:ncRNA from 1 species
GAGAGCCGUGUGCAAUGAAAAUUGCACGCACGGUUCGGAAAGGGAGGGGUGAUAGGUGACUAUCAUUUCGACCCAAAC